rnacentral:rRNA from 1 species
CCUACGGGAGGCUGCAGUGGGGAAUAUUGCGCAAUGGGCGAAAGCCUGACGCAGCGACGCCGCGUGAGGGAUGAAGGUCCUCGGAUCGUAAACCUCUGUCAGCAGGGAAGAACGGUCACUGUGCUAAUCAGCAGUGAAUUGACAGUACCUGCAAAGGAAGCACCGGCUAACUCCGUGCCAGCAGCCGCGGUAAUACGGAGGGUGCGAGCGUUAAUCGGAAUUACUGGGCGUAAAGCGCUCGUAGGCGGUAUGUCAAGUCAAGGGUGAAAUCCCCGGGCUCAACGUGGGAACUGCCUUUGAAACUGGCAAACUGGAGUGUGUGAGAGGAUAGUGGAAUGCCAGGUGUAGGGGUGAAAUGCGUAGAUAUCUGGAAGAACAUCAGUGGCGAAGGCAGCUAACUGGCACAUAACUGACGCUGAGGAGCGAAAGCGUGGGUAGCAAACAGGAUUAGAUACCCGGGUAGUC